rnacentral:rRNA from 1 species
UACGUAGGGACCAAGCGUUGUUCGGAUUUACUGGGCGUAAAGGGCGCGUAGGCGGCGUGACAAGUCACUUGUGAAAUCUCUGGGCUUAACCCAGAACGGCCAAGUGAAACUGUUGUGCUAGAGUGCAGAAGGGGCAAUCGGAAUUCUCGGUGUAGCGGUGAAAUGCGUAGAUAUCGAGAGGGAACACCAGAGGUGAAGACGGGUUGCUGGGCUGACACUGACGCUGAUGCGCGAAAGCCAGGGGAGCAAACGGG